AACGAACGCUGGCGGCAUGCCUAACACAUGCAAGUCGAACGAGACCUUCGGGUAUAGUGGCGCACGGGUGCGUAACGCGUGGGAACCUGCCCUUAGGUUCGGAAUAACUCCCCGAAAGGGGUGCUAAUACCGGAUAAUGUCUUCGGACCAAAGAUUUAUCGCCUUUGGAUGGGCCCGCGUUGGAUUAGCUAGUUGGUAGGGUAAAAGCCUACCAAGGCGACGAUCCAUAGCUGGUCUGAGAGGAUGAUCAGCCACACUGGGACUGAGACACGGCCCAGACUCCUACGGGAGGCAGCAGUGGGGAAUAUUGGACAAUGGGCGAAAGCCUGAUCCAGCAAUGCCGCGUGAGUGAUGAAGGCCUUAGGGUUGUAAAGCUCUUUUACCCGGGAUGAUAAUGACAGUACCGGGAGAAUAAGCUCCGGCUGACUCCGUG
rnacentral:rRNA from 1 species